GCAGAGUAAAAACCGAUGCGUCAAGUGCCGACUGUACAGGGAGUUGACAGACGGACGAAAAACCCUUGGGUUUGCGGUGUCGGAUUUUGCAUCCCGCUGC
rnacentral:ncRNA from 1 species